rnacentral:rRNA from 1 species
AUGUUACUGUGAGUAAAUCAGAAUGUUCAAAGCAGACGGCUUGCCGUUUGAAUGUUAAAGCAUGGGAUAACAAGGGAUCGACCGCUAAGGCCUCUUUUUGUUGGUUUUCAAGCCUCAGUGUGGCAACUCCGCACAAGAUUUCUCCUGUGCGUUCCAAGGUUCCAUCCUUGGGCGCACUCGCAGAUUCUUGUGUCCUCGGGAUCAAUAGGAGCGCGGGGAGCAAUCAGUACUUCGAGGUGAGAGGUGAAAUUCAUAGACCCUCGAAAGACUAACAUCAGCGAAAGCCGUUUGCUAUCGCGCUUUCAUUAAUCAAGAACGAGAGAAAGGGGAUCGAAGAUGAUCAGAUACCGUCGUAGUCCUUUCCGUAAAUGAUGCAGACUCGGGAUCGGUCACUGUUCUUUUAGUGACAUGAUCGGCACCUUAUUCCCUGUCGAGAAAUCAAAGUCUUUGUGUUCCGGGGGGAGUAUAUUCGCAAGGCUGAAACUUAAAGGAAUUGACGGAAAACCACCACCAGACGUGGAGUGUGCGGCUUAAUUCGACUCAAC